UGGGGAAUUUUGGACAAUGGGGGAAACCCUGAUCCAGCGACGCCGCGUGUGUGAAGAAGGCCUGCGGGUUGUAAAGCACUUUCGGUGGGAACGAAAUAUGCCGGGCUAAUACCCCGGUAGGCUGACGUUACUCAAUGAAGAAGCACCGGCUAACUCUGUGCCAGCAGCCGCGGUAAUACAGAGGGUGCGAGCGUUAAUCGGAAUUACUGGGCGUAAAGGGCGCGUAGGCGGCAAUUCAAGUCAUCUGCGAAAUCUCCGGGCUUAACUCGGAACGGUCAGAUGAUACUGCUUUGCUAGAGUGCAGAAGGGGCAAUCGGAAUUCUUGGUGUAGCGGUGAAAUGCGUAGAUAUCAAGAGGAACACCUGAGGUGAAGACGGGUUGCUGGGCUGACACUGACGCUGAGGCGCGAAAGCCAGGGGAGCAAACGGGAUUAGAUACCCCCGUAGUCCCUGAGCGGGCUGGCAAGGCGCAU
rnacentral:rRNA from 1 species